rnacentral:lncRNA from 1 species
GAUUCAGUGCAGAGGAAGACUACAGGGCCAGUGGAGCAUUUGUCGCAAUCGAUCUAUUGUCUGUUGUUUAAUAAGGUUUAAUUUAUUUUUUUCAUUAUAUGGAAUUUUGGUAUUGACGAGAGGUUUAUUAGAGCUGUAACAUAUAUUUUAUACUUAAUAUCUGUUCGACCGUUCGCGAAGAGACGCGAUCGCGAGGAAGCGCGCCAGGGGGAGUUGUAAAUUCCCAUUACGAUUAGACAAUCGAUGCCACAAAAUAAUCGAUUUCGUUUAGCAUAAUAGAGUUGGUUGAAUUGAUUAUAACAUUGAGGAUGAAAAUUAAUGAAGAGAUGGUGACUAAUCUAAGGACGAUAAACCAGAGAAGUUCGACGACGAUGCUGCCGCAGAGGAAAACUAUUGCUGGGUGUGUUGGUCGUCUCACCAUCGUUCACUUGCGGGUGGACAUGACAGUUGAACAUGGGAAAACCCGACAACAAAACAAAAAUCUUUUGUCUGAUGGAGCGAUAACCAUAAGGAACGUCUCGACUUGAAUAUAUUUUAAAAUGAUUAAAGGCUUAAACAAUAAAAUACAAAUGCUUAGCUUUAUUAUAGUUCCUUAGCAUUAUUACGGUCUGAUUAAUUAUAUUUGUACAGUGAGUGGUCGAUGGAUGGAUUAUUACGCACCAGCGUAACUAGCUUCAUUACAAAGUUGUUAGAACCAACUGUGAUUUGUAACUCAUCCAUGUACAAAGUAUGGGAAAUAUAAAUUUUAUAACUCUGUUAGUAGACAACACAUUACUAUAAUAAAAUAUAUGGAUACGUAUUAGGUAAAUAA